AAGGUUCAUAUUUUACCGUCUAUGCAUUUUAAGUACGCAUUUUUCAACUAGCUUAAAAUAAUGAAUUUUUGAUUUGAAGUACAUAAACGUGUUUUGCUAAAAGUAAUUAAUUGUUUAUUGAUUAUUAUUCAACAACAACCCCAAUAAUGAUGCUCAAUUUAAUUUUAGGAUUUAUUCCUAAAAUUCACAAUCACAUUGUCAUUGUAUAAACAGAUAGAAUAACACAAGUCACGAGUACAUAACACCCGAUACGAAAAAAAUAACUAUAACUUACAAUACUGCCAAAGCAAAAAAAAAAACGAAAAAAAACUUUGGCGAGGGUUCUCGAAGUCAAAGUAAAAAGCUAAAAGGGGAAAGCCCCAUUGAAGCUCAGUAAUGGCGCCAUACGUGCUAUUAUCUGAUCGUCUGAUUAGCAAGCGCUAUAUGAAAUUGUUGCACCAUGAUCUAGUUGCAAUGUACAAAUUGAUUUGUUCCUAAAUAGUUGGGUAGUCACUACGACCUUCUAGAAAGUCAACUAUAAAUACGACUCUGAUUGUAAUGCGUCUUACAUGCAAUGAGUUGUGGUGGAUCAGUUGGCACUAUAGGAUGAACUCCAUACUUUGAAGCAACAUUUAAAAGAAGAAGAAUCGUUGUCGGUAGAAAUCAUAACAUCGACAUAAAUAACGUCUGCAUAGCGCCCAUGUGAUUUGACGAACGUAAAUCAAGAUCCUUGACUUUUAAUUUUUAAUUGUCAUUUAACACUUGACAAAAAUAGACAAUUGAAACAAUAAAUCCCGGGAAAUUCGGGAAACCCGGGAUACAAAAAUUUGUUUCCCGGGAUUCGGGAAUCCCGGGAAAUUUCAUUUCCCGGGAAAUCCAUCCCGGAAUUGGAAGCCCUAGGGCCUAUGUUACGUGAAAACGGAGCAUAGUUAAUGAGUAAUAUACACAUAAAAAUCAUAAACAAAACAUAAGAGAAUCAUUGUCCAAAGGUUCCUUGAGAAAGGCACAAUAUAGUGACCGAAACGUCGGAUGAAAACUUAACAAUUCGUUUUUGAGUUUUUCUUCCAAGACUGAAAGCCAUAACCUCAAAACAAAAACAAUGUACUAGACAAUGUAUAUUUAUGUAAGUACUUUUGCAUUUCAACCAAUGUUCAUAUUUUUGAAAAA